rnacentral:rRNA from 1 species
CGAGGAAUAUUGCGCAAUGGACGAAAGUCUGACGCAGUAACGCCGCGUGAGGGAAGACGACCUUCGGGUUGUAAACCUCUUUUUGGAAGGACGAGAGAGGACGGUACUUUCAGAAUAAGUCUCGGCUAACUACGUGCCAGCAGCCGCGGUAAGACGUAGGAGGCGAGCGUUAUCCGGAUUCACUGGGCGUAAAGGGCAUGUAGGCGGCUGUGUAAGUCGUGUGUUAAAGCCCCCGGCUCAACUGGGGGAGGUCAUGCGAGACUAUACGGCUUGAGGGCAGCAGAGGAACGUGGAACUCCCGGUGUAGCGGUGGAAUGCGUAGAGAUCGGGAAGAACACCAGUGGCGAAGGCGGCGUUCUGGGCUGCAACUGACGCUGAAAUGCGAAAGUGUGGGGAGCAAACGGGAUUAGAUACCCCUGUAGUCC